CACAGUCUCACAGGAACAGACCACCGAAGGGGAAACAGAUUGCAACCCGCGCCCGCCAUUGCCAACGGAACCGGAGGAUUAACGGGAGGAGGUGGUGCACAGGGAUGUGGCCUUCGUCUUCCUUUGGUUCCUGUUUAGACACCCUUGAGUGGAAGAUGGUAACUGUAGUCUGGAAAAAGAGUCACUUGAGGUUGUGCACGGUUCCAGUUGUGUCUGUAGGUCUCAGGUUUGGCGGCAAGCGCCUUCACCAGCCCUAGAAAGCCUGCAUGUGACAGGUUAAGACAUCAGCACCCAGCUUCCCCUAAGACGUAAGCUGAGCUCUGCAGAACUACCUCCCACUUUAAAGCAAGAACAAGAGGCAUAGUGGAUUUCUCAGCCCUUCCACCUGGUGUGUGAGAGGCAGAAAUGCACUUGA